AAUACUCAAAAACAUCUUAUACAAAAUUAUUUACGAUAACGCAUAGAUAUGGACAAAACCGCCAGGGUGGAAGUUCGAUAAAGUUUAUACAGCCAUUCUUUCUUUCUUUAUCGUCUCACAUCACAAAGUAGCCAGCGUUUUGGAUAAAAACCUUUCAUGCAAAACUUACUUAUAAACCGUGUAGACAUCUACCACAGGAAAACAUUAUAACAACUCAGACCGUGCUAGAAUGGUUUCUAAGUUAGUGAAAACCGAUCGGACCACAAACUGAGAACGUAUUUUGUUAGGUAAAAUGAAAACUGGGUGUGGUAGUUGUCUAAAGAAAUAAUCGUAUACUGAUUGUGAUAUAUAGUGCAGAGCCUAGAUUAAUUCUAUCAUGUGUCCAGCCAGCACUGAUUCUACCAUUAUAAUGUGUCCAGCCAGCACUGAUUCUGUCAGUAUAAGGUGUCCAGCCAGCAUUAAUUCUGUCAGUAUAAGGUGUCCAGCCAACACUGAUUCUGUCAGGAUAAGGGUCCAGCCAACACUGAUUCUGUCAUUAUAAGGUGUCCAGCCAGCACUGAUUCUGUUAAUAUAAGGGUCCAGCCAGCACUGAUUCUGUCAUUAUAAGGGUCCAGCCAGCACUGUUUGUAUCAGUAUAAGGUGUCCAGCCAACACUGAUUCUGUCAGGAUAAGGGUCCAGCCAGCACUGAUUCUGUCAUUAUAAGUUCCAGCCAGCACUGUUUGUAUCAGUAUAAGGUGUCCAGCCAUCUCUGAUUCUAUCAGUAAAUGGUGUCUAGUCAUCUCUGAUUAUAUCAGCAUAAUGUGUCCAGUCAUCUCUGAUCAGUGUCCAGUGAGUAUUGAUUCUGAUAAUAUAAGCUAGUUAGGCCU